GGCGAUGUAGUUAAUUUAUAACGAGGGUUUGUCGCACCUUAGUAGCUGCCUUUGCCGCAGUCAUCACCU
rnacentral:tRNA from 1 species